rnacentral:rRNA from 1 species
UACGAGGGGGGCAAGCGUUGUUCGGAAUUAUUGGGCGUAAAGGGUGCGUAGGCGGUUUUGUAAGUCUUGUGUGAAAUCUUCAGGCUCAACUUGAAGACUGCACGAGAAACUGCAGGGCUUGAGUGUGGGAGAGGUGAGUGGAAUUCCUGGUGUAGCGGUGAAAUGCGUAGAUAUCAGGAGGAACACCUGUGGCGAAAGCGGCUCACUGGACCAUAACUGACGCUGAUGCACGAAAGCUAGGGGAGCAAACAGG